UCCCUGGUGGUCCAGUGGUUAAGAUUCUGAGCUACCAAUGCAGAGGGCCCAGGUUCAAUUCCUGGUCAGAGAA